CCCUUAGAUGUUCUGGGCCGCACGCGCGCUACACUGAUGCAUUCAACGAGCCUAUCCUUGACCGACAGGUCCGGGUAAUCUUUGAAUCUGCAUCGUGACGGGGAUAGAUUAUUGCAAUUAUUAAUCUUCAACGAGGAAUGCCUAGUAAGCGUGAUUCAUCAAAUCGCGUUGAUUACGUCCCUGCCCUUUGUACACACCGCCCGUCGCUCCUACCGAUUGAGUGUGUUGGUGAGGAGUUUGGAUUGGCCUCGGAAGGUGGUUCGCCACCGUCCGUAGCUGAGAAGUUCUCCAAACCGCCCCACUUAGAGGAAGGAGAAGUCGUAACA
rnacentral:rRNA from 1 species